rnacentral:rRNA from 1 species
GACGUAGGGCGCGAGCGUUGUCCGGAUUUAUUGGGCGUAAAGAGCUCGUAGGCGGCUUGUUGCGUCGGCUGUGAAAACCCAUGGCUCAACCGUGGGCUUGCAGCCGAUACGGGCAGGCUAGAGUUCGGUAGGGGAGACUGGAAUUCCUGGUGUAGCGGUGAAAUGCGCAGAUAUCAGGAGGAACACCGGUGGCGAAGGCAGAUCUCUGGGCCGUAACUGACGCUGAGGAGCGAAAGCAUGGGGAGCGAACAGG